rnacentral:rRNA from 1 species
GACGAACGCUGGCGGCGUGCCUAAUACAUGCAAGUAGAACGCUGAAGGAGGAGCUUGCUUCUCCGGAUGAGUUGCGAACGGGUGAGUAACGCGUAGGUAACCUGCCUGGUAGCGGGGGAUAACUAUUGGAAACGAUAGCUAAUACCGCAUAAGAGUAGAUAUUGCAUGAUAUCUGCUUGAAAGGUGCAAUUGCAUCACUACCAGAUGGACCUGCGUUGUAUUAGCUAGUUGGUGAGGUAACGGCUCACCAAGGCGACGAUACAUAGCCGACCUGAGAGGGUGAUCGGCCACACUGGGACUGAGACACGGCCCAGACUCCUACGGGAGGCAGCAGUAGGGAAUCUUCGGCAAUGGACGGAAGUCUGACCGAGCAACGCCGCGUGAGUGAAGAAGGUUUUCGGAUCGUAAAGCUCUGUUGUAAGAGAAGAACGAGUGUGAGAGUGGAAAGUUCACACUGUGACG